rnacentral:lncRNA from 1 species
ACUGAUUCUAUCAUUUAUUUGACCCAAAUAUCCUGAAAACAAAAAAACAAAAACAGGCAUUAUCUGUACAAAAGUAUAUAUAGCUGUUUUAUUUGUAAUUGUGAAUAAAAUGUGGGGACAACUUAUAUGUACAGUUUGAGAAUGGCUGAAUAAAUCAUGGCAUAUUGAUAGAAUUAAAUAUAAUGGUAUAAAAAUGGUAAAUAUGAAUAUAAGAAAUAUGGAAAGUUUAUAAAUAAAAAGAUCAGCAGAAUUAGCACUUUAUAUAAAUUAACUACAGUAAUUAUUCAUGUAUGAUUUAGUGACCUAGUCUGUGAUUUCAUCAAUGUACGAGAUUCCCUCUUUUCAUCAAUGCAACUCAUCUAUUAAUUCAGUCUUAAGUUACAUGAGGCAUAAGGGAAGUUGUGACUUGAGUGAGUCUCAGAGGUAGGCUUUGAGCCUACAAGACCUUUUAUUUCUAAAAAUAAAAAGAGAGCUAGCCCUCUAUCCACUACACCUUGGUAUUUAUUCUAUACACAUACAUUCUAAGACUAGCCUUCUAUCAUGCCUUGGUAUCUAUUCCAUAUACACACACAAACCCUCAAAAAUAGUAGAACCGUAUGAAUUUGGAAGAAGACUACAAACAUUUUUUGUCUAUUUAAAUAGUUCUAUAUUGCUAAAUGUUUAUGUAAGAUUUUAUUUUGUUUUGUAUGUUUAGUUGAUUUUGUUGAUGAUCAUUAAAUUGUAAUUAUUAAAAUGUAAAUUGUAAUAGAAUCAGCCCAGUCUCAGAACCUGAGGGACUUACUUGGAAUAAGAUCUGGUUUCAAAGUACCUCUGGUACUUACUAGCUAUGUGAUUCUGGGGAAACAACUUUUUUCAUUUAAUUUUCAUUUUAUUUUUUUUUUCAAUUAACAUGUAAACAAAAAUUUUUAACAUUUUUUUUUUUUUUUUAACAAUUUGAGUUCAAAUUCUUUAUCUCCCUCUGGGCUCUCCCUACUCCAAAAGUUUAUACAUAUGUAGUCAUGCAAAACAUUUUCAUAUUGGCCAUGUUGCAAAUGGGUAAACCAUUUAACUUCUGUGUACUUAUUAAGUUGUAUAUUGAUUGCCAUCUGUUUGGAUAAGGCAGUUUCCAUACCAGAAGCUUAACCAUUCUGACUAAAUUACAAGUCCUUUCUAUAUUUUCAUGUUAAACGGAUAAUUAUAAAUUUUUAAAUGAGGGUACUGUAUAUUAUCUUUAAGAUUCUUUUAAGAUCUAUUGUAAGUUCAUACACAGAUAAGCAUAAUAUUUCAAAAUUAUUACUUCUUUGAAAUAUGAAGAAAAAUGACAAAAUAUCAAAAAAUUUAAUAAGUUACAUCUCAUUUAAUUUGCUUUCCAAAAAAAGAAUAGAAAUUUCUUUAUUGAUUAAAAAAAAGUUGCCUUUGCAAAGUCCUCUAGAGACAAAUACCAAACUUAUUACAAUACAUGUAAGUAAACACACCAUAAUACCAAACCCAUGAAAUUUUUCAAAGAUAGAACAAUUUACAUCUAAUUCCAAAGUACUCAGGGAAAUCAACCGGCUUCUCAUAGCAGUUAUUGUACAAGUCACUUGGAACAAAGAAAUACUCCUGCCCAGAGUUAAAUGGUGAAGAGCUGUGUGGGGUUCACCUAUUAAUUGAGUUUAUCUAGACUACACUAUCUACAACUUUGAUUUUUAGGGCUCAUCCCCUAUUCUGUGCAAAGUUAUUGCACAUGAAUGGUAAAUACUAAAACCAAGAAGCCAAAACAUAUUAAAGAAUAACCAGACUCACUAAUAGAUGAGUAAUUAGGUUCUCUUGUUUUCUUAGCAAUUAGAAUAACUUGGGUAUUAAUAAUCCUAAUGAAUGCAUUUGGCUAUGGCUGGAGUAGAAAAAUGUUUGCCCUUCUAAGGGAAACAGUAGGAAGAAUACACGAGUUGGAUGGAGUCUGAGGCCCUGAGGUUACAAUCUUGGUUCUGCUUUUUUAUCAGUUGAAUAAACUCAUAUAACUUGGAUGUAAACUAUAUAUAUAUAUAUACACACAUAUAUAUAUAUAUAUACAUAUGUAUGUCUAAAACUUACACCCAAAUUAUGUUUGUCCACUUACAUCCAUAUAUGUGUGUAUGUUGGUUAAAUUAUAUAACUUGAAUUGGUUAUAUAACUGUUCAAGAACUGUACCCUGGAAAUGGAGGAGGAAAUUCAAAACGAGCCUCCCAGCUCUGGAUCAGGAUGUAACAGCUGUAGCUGUUAUGUACAAUAGAAGGGGAUAAUGUCCCUGAUUUUUUUUUUUGAACCUCACUUGUAAAACGAGGAUUGUUAUGAGAGUUAAGAAAAUUAUAUUUAUCAAUCAUUUUUAUUAGAUUUUAAAGGUCAUCCAGGUCCAACCUACUCAUUUUACAGAUAAGUCCCAGAGAGGCUCAGGGAUUUGCUCAGUCACACAGUUCCAAGAUUCAAACCUGGUUCCAUCAGCUCCAAAUCCAGACCUCUUUUUACUAUAUGCUGCUACCUCCUCUUGUCUCAGUAUUUAAGCAUUUAUGAUCUGGGGCUUAGGGUAUUAUUAUUAGGAAUAAUUGGAUUUAAAUAUAGGGGAUUUUAUCUCACAGGAUACAACAACUUUGUAUUUAUAUAU